CAGUCGCCGCGGGAAUACGAAGGGGGCUAGCGUUGUUCGGAUUUACUGGGCGUAAAGGGCGCGUAGGCGGGCGAAUAAGUCAGGGGUGAAAUCCCAAGGCUCAACCUUGGAACUGCCUUUGAUACUGUUUGUCUUGAGUCCGGGAGAGGUGAGUGGAACUGCGAGUGUAGAGGUGAAAUUCGUAGAUAUUCGCAAGAACACCAGUGGCGAAGGCGGCUCACUGGCCCGGAACUGACGCUGAGGCGCGAAAGCGUGGGGAGCAAACAGGAUUAGAUACCCCGGUAGUCCCUGUCUCUUAUAC
rnacentral:rRNA from 1 species